rnacentral:lncRNA from 1 species
UCCUUUCCCUGGGACAGGAGCUCCUCUAUAUCAUCAGAGGCAACGGGGUACCCAGAGGCUGCUUGGAUACCAUCAGUGACAGGGAGCUCACUCCUCUAAGCAUGAUCAGCAAACUGAGGUCUGGAGAGAUGAAGUGACAGGCACAAGCGGAAGCUUCAGGGAGGAAGGCUGCGGGCUGGAGAGAACCUGAGGCUGAGUUUCUUCCAUUUCAUCCAGCGCAUUCACCAAAGCACCCUGUGUGCCGAGGGCAGCGGGGGCCGUACCCUCCCGGAGCUCACGAAUGGGUGAGGGAGAAGCCCCUAGGCGGAGAAACUUACAAUCCCAUGUGGACAUGUGAACUCAGUGAGAGGAGGUGCUGCGGUGAGGGCCACUUCUUGGAGAUUUGGGAAAAGGAGCAGGAUGUUUCUGGCAGUGAGGCUGGGAAGGGCAUCCUUCAUAGCAGAGGGAAGCUGUGAGCAGAGCAGAGGCUGAGGACGACUCCACCCAAGGGGACCGGUGGGGCAGGGGCUGUGCCAGGGCUUGACCCGGAGCUCUGGGCUGUGUCCAGUUCCCUUCAAAUGAGAAAGAAGGCGCCAGAGGUGCAGGGGACAGGGGAUGCCUGCCAGCCAGGCCCCAUCUCCUCUGCUGUUUAGGGACUCGGGUUGGAAUUUCCACGACACUAUUUGGGGGAGGAUGAGGGAGCUGGUGGGAAAUGGGUUUGGGGGCGCGAGGCUUGAUAUCAUUUCUUCCGAUAAAGAGGCAUUGGCUCAGCUUUUCUGUCUUCUGCUUAAUCACUUUCAGAGGCUCAUUAGACUUAGAGGAAAUACACUUGCAAACUCAAACCACAUGCCACCCUCAGAGUACAUACUCCCAUCCCCAAAGCACACGUACCUCAGAGAAAGGAUCAUUGGUUCCCAAGAACAGGAGCCAUUCCGUGGAAGGGGUCACCUGCCUGGAGACUGCAGUGCUCCGAGGCCGUAGAGCAAGGUGGGUGGAAGCGGGUUUGAGAGUUUCAGGGACGGGCUGACUCUCACGGGGCCCUUACCACGUGCCUGCUGCUGUUCUCAUUGCAUUGCACGUAUUAACUCACUUAAGUCCCACCUGAAGGUGGCCACCAUCAUUGUUCCCAAAGAGCAGCUAGGCCCAGACAUGUUAAGUAACUUGCUUCAGAUCACAUGCAGCCAAGUGGCAAAGCCAAAAAUUGUCCAUAGUCAGGCCACCCGGGUUUGCAGCCCAGCUCUGCCAUUGACGAGCUGUGUGUGUUUGAACAAGUUACUCAGCCUUGCUGGUCACUCUUCUCCUGUGUGAAGUACAUGUAGCAAUUACAUCUGCCAACGGGGGGAUGAUUGAAGACCGGAUACACCAUGGGCCUAACACGGUGCCUAGGAUACAGUAAGUACCUGUCAAUUUAAGAAACAGCUGACUAGCUGAGGUCCCACUGAGAUGCCACCUCCUCCACAAGGCGUCUGUCCCUGAAGCUACUAAAGAUCACUCUGUUCAGGUUGGGCAGCACCAGGAUGUCUCCUCUGCAUCCCUACUGUACUGUGGCUAUUUUAUUUGACAAAUCUUCAUAUAGGACUUCCUGUGGGUC